CCUACGGGAGGCAGCAGUGGGGAAUAUUGGACAAUGGGGGGAACCCUGAUCCAGCCAUGCCGCGUGUGUGAAGAAGGCCUUUUGGUUGUAAAGCACUUUAAGCGAGGAGGAGGCUUACCUGGUUAAUACCUGGGAUAAGUGGACGUUACUCGCAGAAUAAGCACCGGCUAACUCUGUGCCAGCAGCCGCGGUAAU
rnacentral:rRNA from 1 species